UGCGUAGGUGGUUUCUUAAGUCAGGAGUGAAAGGCUACGGUUCAACCGUAGUAAGCUCUUGAAACUGGGAAACUUGAGUGCAGGAGAGGAAAGUGGAAUUCCUAAUGUAGCGGUGAAAUGCGUAGAUAUUAGGAGGAACACCAGUAGCGAAGGCGGCUUUCUGGACUGUAACUGACACUGAGGCACGAAAGCGUGGGGAGCAAACA
rnacentral:rRNA from 1 species